GCACGCGCCGACAGAAACUAACAGACAUUAACCAACAGCGAUUCCGUCGCGUUUACUUGGGAGGAAGGCGGAAAAGAGGUCAAAAUGCGGAUCUUCGUGAAAACCCUUACCGGCAAGAUCAUCACCCUUGAAGUGGAGCCCAGUGCCACUAUCGAAAAUGUCAAAGCCAAAAUCCAAGAUAAAGAAGGCAAUCCCUGUGACCAGCAGAGGCUCAUCUUUGCAGGCAAGCAGCGGGAAGAUGGCCGCAGUCUUUCUGACUACAACAUCCAGAAAGAGUCGACCCUGCAUCUGGUCCUGCGUCGGAGAGGUGGUAUGCAGAUCUUCGUGAAGACCCUGACCGGCAAGACCAUCACCCUGGAAGUGGAGCCCAGUGACACCAUCGAAAAUGUGAAGGCCAAGAUCCAAGAUAAAGAAGGCAUCCCCCCCGACCAGCAGAGGCUCAUCUUUGCAGGCAAGCAGCUGGAAGAUGGCCGCAGUCUUUCUGACUACAACAUCCAGAAAGAGUCGACCCUGCAUCUGGUCCUGCGUCUGAGAGGUGGUAUGCAGAUCUUCGUGAAGACCCUGACCGGCAAGACCAUCACCCUGGAAGUGGAGCCCAGUGACACCAUCGAAAAUGUGAAGGCCAAGAUCCAAGAUAAAGAAGGCAUCCCCCCGAUCAGCAGAGGCUCAUCUUUGCAGGCAAGCAGCUGGAAGAUGGCGGUACUCUUUCUGACUACAACAUCCAGAAGGAGUCGACCCUGCACCUGGUCCUGCGUCUGAGAGGUGGUAUGAAGAUCUUCGUGAAGACCCUGACUGGAAAGACCAUCACCCUGGAGGUGGAGCCCAGUGACACCAUCGAAAAUGUGAAAGCCAAGAUCCAGGAUGAAGAAGGCAUCCCCCCCGAUCAGCAGAGGCUCAUCUUUGCAGGCAAGAAGUUGGAAGAUGGCCGCACUCUUUCUGACUACAGCAUCCAGAAAGAGUCGACCCUGCACCUGGUCCUGCGCCUGAGGGGUGGCUGUUAAUUCUUCAGUCUUGCAUUAGCAGUGCCCACUGAUGGCAUUACUCUGCACUAUAGCCAUUUGCCCCAACUUAGGUUUAGAAAUUACAAGUUUCAGUAAUAGCUGAACCUGUUCAAAAUGUUAAUAAAGGUUUCGUUGAAUGGUA
ensembl:lncRNA UBBP4 ubiquitin B pseudogene 4